rnacentral:lncRNA from 1 species
AGUGUGAAAGAAAAAUCUGUGAAAAACGAUCAAUAACAAAAGGCAGAAUGAAAGAAUCAAAGUCUUAGCCUAUAAGAGAACAGUGUGAUCAUCUGCCUGGUGAAAGAAAGCAAGGAAAGAAUCCAAGGUUCAGAAGGAUGAUGAGAAUGGUGCAGUUCAUCCCGUUUGCCAGCAAAAUCAAUCAUCGCCAGAACUCAGCAGCCUUUCUCCCAGCAGCCCAUGGAGAAUGACAGCCUCUUUUCCCUCAUUCUGCUUGUAUGCUGUAUGCACAUGAAAUCGUGUUCAUUUUAAACCAAAUUCACGAGAUUUUGUGCUACCAAGAUGCCUAGGAGUGACGUGAUCAAUAAACCGAGAACCAAGAAGAGAUUUCUCCUCUCCAAAUCACCGUUCCAUCCCUUCUGUCAUUCCUCUGUGAUUCUUCCCACAGGAAUCCUCUUACACCUACAAGCCUGAGCAGUCAAGAGAACUGUGGCACAUUACAAUAUAUGACAGGGGAAU